rnacentral:rRNA from 1 species
GUGGGGAAUCUUGCGCAAUGGGCGAAAGCCUGACGCAGCCAUGCCGCGUGAAUGAUGAAGGUCUUAGGAUUGUAAAAUUCUUUCACCGGGGACGAUAAUGACGGUACCCGGAGAAGAAGCCCCGGCUAACUUCGUGCCAGCAGCCGCGGUAAUACGAAGGGGGCUAGCGUUGCUCGGAAUUACUGGGCGUAAAGGGCGCGUAGGCGGACAGUUUAGUCAGAGGUGAAAGCCCAGGGCUCAACCUUGGAAUUGCCUUUGAUACUGGCUGUCUUGAGUACGGGAGAGGUGAGUGGAACUCCGAGUGUAGAGGUGAAAUUCGUAGAUAUUCGGAAGAACACCAGUGGCGAAGGCGACUCACUGGUCCGUUACUGACGCUGAGGCGCGAAAGCGUGGGGAGCAAACAGGAUUAGAAACCCUGGUAGUCC